rnacentral:rRNA from 1 species
ACGCUCGACACCUACUGGAGGCAGCAGUAGGGAAUCUUCCGCAAUGGACGAAAGUCUGACGGAGCAACGCCGCGUGAACGAUGAAGGUUUUCGGAUCGUAAAGUUCUGUUGUUAGGGAAGAACAAACUUCGUUUGAAUAAGGCGGAGUCAUGACGGUACCUAACGAGAAAGCCACGGCUAACUACGUGCCAGCAGCCGCGGUAAUCUGAGCGGGCUGGCAAGGC